rnacentral:misc_RNA from 1 species
UUUGACAUUAUAUCUAGUUAGCACCUAUCAGUAGGGGUGAGCAGAUUUCGGUCUAAACCGAAUAACCGAAUCGAACUGAAUCAAUUCGGUUCAAUCGGUUCGAUUCAGUUUAUAAAUUUUGAUAAUUUCAGUUAAUCGAUUCAGUUCGGUUAUUUUCAUAAAAAAUAAAAAAAACGAACCAAACCGAAAUUAUAUAUAUAUAUCAAGGAAAUUCCAAGAUUUUUGAGUUCUGAUUUUUAAGUUUUUUUUUUAAUAUUUUUGUUAUUGAGAUUUAAUGUUGAAAAUAUGAAAUUUCAUAAAAUUCGGUUUUAUCAGUUUAAAACCGAACUGAACCAAUAUUUAUUGGUUUGAUUCGGUUCGGUUUUCUCUUAUUAAUCGGGUUGGUUUGGUUUUUAAAAUUUUUAAUUUUUGGUUUUCGGUUUUUUCUAUUCGGUUCGGUUCGGAAUCGAGCCGACCGUUUGCACACCCCUAGUGCUAUCCAUACAGCCUGUUGUAGAUGCCUUUGAUCCAAGAUUAUUGGUGGCUCCUGCAAUGUUUCAUGUGAUAGACUUCACUGAAAUAAAGGUAUAAGUUUACCCUCUGGACCUGUUUUUGUGUUUCUUGUCAGUUGUGCAUGUCCUAUUUAAUGCCCAUAAGAAAACAAUAUAUUUUUGGUUCCAUGUUUUUUUUUACUGUCUUGAAAUGUUCCUUCUGGAUAACCUUCUAUUCUUUUAUGAAAAUUUUCUCAUACAAAACACUCUCAUGUGUGUGCUACACUCAUGUCUGUGCUCUGUAAGUUUCAUAUCUCAUUCUUGGGAUGCCAAUCCUGUAUAUCUGAGAAAUUUUGCAAAUAGCUUUUGAACAAUGAAACGCAUUUUAAAGACUCUGCAAUAUUGACUUUAUUUUGGCCCUGAAAGGAGUAGUUGCAGAAGAACAGUUUCGUUCUUGCUAUCGCAAUAUAAUUAUUCUCUUCUUCAUGAGGAAUUUGAUCUGUUAUCACAUUUCUUUUUGCUGGAAGUGGAAUUAUAUGAAAUUGAUAUUCCCUUAAAAUUCAAAGCUUCUGUGGGAGCAAGAGUGCAUGGGCUGGCUUGUUGGUUUGAUGUAUUGUUUAAUGGAAGUAAUGUGCAAAGGUGGCUUACGACUGCCCCCGGUGCUUCUACAACCCACUGGUAUCAAUUACGCUGUGUUCUGUCUCAGCCACUCUAUGCCAUGGCAGGACAAGAAAUUACUGGCCGGCUCCACAUGGUUGCACACAAUGCUCAGAGUUAUACCAUAUAUUGAACACUGUCAGCUAAAAUGUGGGGUCCUGGUGCCGAACAAGGAGGAAUACUUCAGACAUCAUCAUGCAAGCUCAACCUAAAGGAACCAUAUCAUAGACUGUCUCAGCCACAAGCCUAUGCAAUGGCGCAAGAUCAGCAACCACAACAAAUGAUACAUGCACAGCUGAUCACUAUCUUUUAAUCAGCUUUUAUCUGCUUGAUUAUCUACAAUUAAUCUGGUGAAGAAACUUCAAACACUGAGUUAAUCAUGAGCAAGGAUCCAAUACUCCAAAUAACAUUCAAUUUUUCAUCUGUGCCUUUAAAUGCCAUCUUUCUUAGCAAAUGUUUGACAUCAAUGCUCGUAUGCCCAUUUGAGAACACAAUUAAACAUUUUACAGUUGGGAACAUGCUCUGUUUGUUUCCCUUAAAGGGACGCAGUAUGGAACACAGCAUUUGGUUAGAUACAAUAUUUGAAUGUGUUUAUCAUCCUCAUCUAUUUGUUCAAGAAGCUGCAUCUCAUGCAUAAUUUGGUCACAUGCAAAGUUCGCAAACGUGUUUAUACUGGUACCACAGUUUUUAUUUAGUACCUGGAUCUGUUAAUCUGUCAUCAUCUGCUACUCCGCAGCACUUUAUCAUGCAAGUGAGUUGUGAGUUCAGAUGCUUCUUGAAGUUGAAUUGAUGCGUCAUAUGGAUGCAAAAAUCACAAGUUUGCAGUUUCAUGCAUAGAAGUAAUUUUGCAUUUACAUUCCAGUUCAGUUUUUGGGUAGGAUUUACUUAAAUUUCUUGAAAUUAGUUUCCGUUGAGGAGGUAACAUUUAGAGUUUAAACAGUGUAAGAUUUUUGGGAUAAAAUUCUGUUGCUCUGUCAAUUCUCCGCCAAUUUUCAUAUUUGUACUUGUGCUAGCAUUUCCAUCAGUUUUCUGAAAUUUUGGAUUCCAAGUUUUAUCUAUGAAGUUUGGAGGUGCUUUUCUUAAUCUGCUUGCUCAUAUUAUGUGUGCUUAUGUACUUUUCUCUUAUUACUCACCGUCUUGCAUCGUCAUGACUUAAAACAAAAUGGUAACAGUGGAAUGAGUUCCAUCAUCUUCACAUCUUCAUUCUCACUAUUGGUGUUAAGUUGUUGUUAUGUGCAUAAUAGUGAUGAUAGUUUAUCUGGCUUAUUUCAGGAUAUACACAAUCAAUCAGAGGAUUUAGAAGAACCGGAUUUGAUACAGCCACCAUCUCAAAAUUUGGAAGCUCAACUCUAAUAAGUUUGUGGUGGAAUUUUAAAGAAAGCAAUUUUUAAAGUGGCAUAUGUUUGAGGUAUAAAAAUUUGCUGCUUCCCGGCAAGGGUUCUGCAUUGGUGAGCAUCAUGUACUCUUCUCUGCGCCGGUUCAGUUCCCUUGUAAAUUAGAUCAAAAUGAUUAAACUAUGUUGCAUAGUUGAUUCUGUGCGCUAUUUCAUUAUGCUUUAACGAGUUAAAACAAUCAAAUCCAUUGUGGCCCUUUCUCAUUCGACUGGGUCAUUUAAAUUGUAUUAUUGUAUUUUAGUCUGAAAAAAUUUAUAUUAUAA